GCAAUGGGCGGCAGCUUACACAUGCAGUCGACGAUGAACCAGGGGCUUGCCCUUGGGGAUUAGUGGCGAACGGGUGAGUAACACGUGAGCAACCUGCCCCUCACUCUGGGAUAAGCGCUGGAAACGGCGUCUAAUACUGGAUACGAGACGCGACCGCAUGGUCAGUGUCUGGAAAGAUUUUUUGGUGGGGGAUGGGCUCGCGGCCUAUCAGCUUGUUGGUGAGGUAAUGGCUCACCAAGGCGUCGACGGGUAGCCGGCCUGAGAGGGUGACCCGGGCCACCACUGGGGAACUGAAGACCACGGGCCCCAGACUUCCUUACGGGGAGGCCAGCCAGUGGGGGAAUAAUUGCACCAAUGGGGCGGAAAGCCCUGAUGGCAGCAAACGCCCGCGUGGAGGGAAUGACGGCCCUUCGGGGUUGUAAACCUUCUUUUAGCCAGGGAAGAAAGCGAAAAGUGACCGGUACCUGCAGAAAAAAGCACCCGGCUAACUACGUGCCCAGCAGCCCGCGGUAAUACGUAGGGUGCAAGCGUUAUCCGGAAUUAUUGGGCGUAAAGAGCUCGUAGGCGGUUUGUCGCGUCUGCUGUGAAAUCCCGAGGCUCAACCUCGGGCCUGCAGUGGGUACGGGCAGACUAGAGUGCGGUAGGGGAGAUUGGAAUUCCUGGUGUAGCGGUGGAAUGCGCAGAUAUCAGGAGGAACACCGAUGGCGAAGGCAGAUCUCUGGGCCGUAACUGACGCUGAGGAGCGAAAGGGUGGGGAGCAAACAGGCUUAGAUACCCUGGUAGUCCACCCCGUAAACGUUGGGAACUAGUUGUGGGGUCCUUUCCACGGAUUCCGUGACGCAGCUAACGCAUUAAGUUCCCCGCCUGGGGAGUACGGCCGCAAGGCUAAAACUCAAAGGAAUUGACGGGGACCCGCACAAGCGGCGGAGCAUGCGGAUUAAUUCGAUGCAACGCGAAGAACCUUACCAAGGCUUGACAUACACGAGAACGGGCCAGAAAUGGUCAACUCUUUGGACACUCGUGAACAGGUGGUGCAUGGUUGUCGUCAGCUCGUGUCGUGAGAUGUUGGGGUUAAGUCCCGCAACGAGCGCAACCCUUCGUUCUAUGUUGCCAGCACGUAAUGGUUGGGAACUCAUGGGGAUACUGGCCGGGGUCAACUCCGAAGGAAGGUGGGGGAUGAACGUCAAAUCCUUCAUGGCCCCUUAAGGUCUUGGGGCUUUCCCGCAUGGCUAACAAUGGGCCGGGUACAAAGGGGUUGCAAUUACCCGUGGAGGUGGAAGCCAAUUCCCAAAAAAGCCCGGGUCCCCAGUUUCGGAAUUUGAGGGUCUGCCAACUUCGCACCUCCUUGAAAAUUCGGGAGAUCCCCUUAKUAAAUUCGCCGAAUAACCCACAACCCUGGCGGKGGGAAUAAAAUUUCCCCGGUCUUGUACACACCGCCCGUCAAGUCAUGAAAGUCGGUAACACCUGAAGCCGGUGGCCUAACCCUUGGGCGGACCCGAUGUAUGAUGGAAUCGAAUGGCCCC
rnacentral:rRNA from 1 species